GAUGAACGCGGGCGGCGUGCCUAACACAUGCAAGUCGAACGGAGAUUAUUCGCUGCGGAGCCUUCGGGCGAAGCUUGAAUGAUCUUAGUGGCGGACGGGUGAGUAACGCGUGGGCAACCUGCCUUGCACAGGGGGAUAGCAGUUGGAAACGACUGGUAAUACCGCAUAUCUUAGAGAGACCGCAUGAUCUUUUUAAGAAAACGUUAGUGGUGCAAGAUGGGCCCGCGUCCGAUUAGAUAGUUGGUGGGGUAACGGCCUACCAAGUCGACGAUCGGUAGCCGACCUAAGAGGGCGGACGGCCACAUUGGGACUGAGACACGGCCCAGACUCCUACGGGAGGCAGCAGUGGGGAAUAUUGCACAAUGGAGGGAACUCUGAUGCAGCGACGCCGCGUGAGUGAAGAAGUAUUUCGGUAUGUAAAGCUCUAUCAGUAGGGAAGAUAAUGACGGUACCUACAUAAGAAGCCCCGGCUAAAUACGUGCCAGCAGCCGCGGUAAUACGUAUGGGGCAAGCGUUAUCCGGAUUUACUGGGUGUAAAGGGAGCGUAGGCGGCAGUACAAGUCGGGAGUGAAAACUCGGGGCUCAACCCCGAGACUGCUCUCGAAACUGUACAGCUAGAGUGCAGGAAGGGCAGGCGGAAUUCCUGGUGUAGCGGUGAAAUGCGUAGAUAUCAGGAGGAACACCGGUGGCGAAGGCGGCCUGCUGGACUGUAACUGACGCUGAGGCUCGAAAGCGUGGGGAGCGAACAGG
rnacentral:rRNA from 2 species